GUAGUACUUGUUUCCGUCGAGGUUAUAUCAUUUUAUUAGUUGCAAUAAUAUUUAAAAAUGCCUGAAAAUGAAUCAAAGAAUACUCAACCUAAAGAAGACAGUCUACCAGACGAAUGGAUGAUUCGACCAAGCGUAGUUUAUGAUGAUGAAUAUUCCGAUUGUCGGUCAAUAAAAGUCGCUUUCAACAAUACUUUGUUGAUGGCCAUAGCACUGACUGCACACAAUGGAAACGCGACUUGGAUAAUUCAUACAAAUGGGAAGCCAACAGAGACAUUAAAGCUGGUAAAGAAAUAAUUGCUAGUGAGAAAAUCAGACGUUUCGAACGCAUGAAAGCACAUUAUGACAAUGAUGUGUGGGAAAAGAGGAAGAACCCUCCAGAAGAUUGGAGUAAACCACUGCCAGAGUAUAUGCAGAAGGAAUAUGAAGC